rnacentral:rRNA from 1 species
AACGAACGCUGGCGGCAGGCUUAACACAUGCAAGUCGAACGGUUGUCGCAAGACAGCAGUGGCAGACGGGUGAGUAACACGUGGGAACCUUCCUCGGGGUACGGAACAACGCAGGGAAACUUGCGCUAAUACCGUAUACGUCCGUGAGGAGAAAGAUUUAUCGCCCUGAGACGGGCCCGCGUCGGAUUAGGUAGUUGGUGGGGUAACGGCCUACCAAGCCUACGAUCCGUAGCUGAUCUUAGAGGAUGAUCAGCCACACUGGGACUGAGACACGGCCCAGACUCCUACGGGAGGCAGCAGUGGGGAAUCUUGGACAAUGGGCGCAAGCCUGAUCCAGCCAUGCCGCGUGAGUGAAGAAGGCCUU